rnacentral:rRNA from 1 species
UACAGAGGUCUCAAGCGUUGUUCGGAUUCAUUGGGCGUAAAGGGUGCGUAGGCGGCGCGGUAAGUCGGGUGUGAAAUCUUGGAGCUUAACUCCGAAACUGCAUUCGAUACUGCCGUGCUUGAGGACUGGAGAGGAGACUGGAAUUUACGGUGUAGCGGUGAAAUGCGUAGAUAUCGUAAGGAAGACCAGUGGCGAAGGCGGGUCUCUGGACGAGUUCCU